UACGGAGGGGGCUAGCGUUGUUCGGAAUUACUGGGCGUAAAGCGCACGUAGGCGGCUUUGUAAGUUAGAGGUGAAAGCCCAGGGCUCAACCCUGGAAUUGCCUUUAAGACUGAAUCGCUUGAACAUCGGAGAGGUAAGUGGAAUUCCGAGUGUAGAGGUGAAAUUCGUAGAUAUUCGGAAGAACACCAGUGGCGAAGGCGACUUACUGGACGAUUGUUGACGCUGAGGUGCGAAAGCGUGGGGAGCAAACAGG
rnacentral:rRNA from 1 species